CAUGUGCAGCCUGAGGCUAAAUACGGCUGCUGGUUCCUGGAAACAGACGUGCCUGGCACCUUUUCAGCAGAAACCCGAUCCCCAUGCGGGCUUGGCACAGCAAGCUGAAUAACAUGGCAAGAACUCUUUCAGUGGUGUUUCAGCCCAUAAAUAGGGCUCCCUGAGCAAACUCCUGGAAGUAUAGCACUACAUGUUACCAUAAGUGCAAGAGGAGGAGGUCUAUUUGCUUGAAAAUAUUGACUGAUCUGUAAAUGAUGAAAGCUCAAAUAUUGCUUACCUUAUCAUAGAAAAUGCAGACCGCAUCAUGAUUUUGAAAGACUCUAGAAGCUGGCAGAGGGGUUCCUGGCGGAGGAGCAGCUGGUGGGAAGCUCUGCGGCACCCAUUUGCCAUUCAGGAGUCGCCAGGCUGGCUAAAUGUCAGUUCAGCCAGGAGCUGCAUGCACAAAUGGAAAAGAAAAAGGCAGUUUUCACGAGUACCCCU